AACGAACGCUGGCGGCGUGGAUAAGACAUGCAAGUCGAACGGGACCAGGUUUGUAGCAAUACAGGCUUGGUUCAGUGGCGAACGGGUGCGUAACACGUGAGCAAUCUGCCGGGAAGUGGGGGAUAGCUCGCCGAAAGGCGAAUUAAUACCGCAUAUGGCCAUUCUUUGAUUAAAGGAAAAACCAAAGCAGCAAUGCGCUUCCUGAUGAGCUCGCGGCCUAUCAGCUAGAUGGCGGGGUAAUGGCCCACCAUGGCUAUGACGGGUAGCUGGUCUGAGAGGACGACCAGCCACACUGGAACUGAGAUACGGUCCAGACACCUACGGGUGGCAGCAGUCGAGAAUUUUUCACAAUGGGGGCAACCCUGAUGGAGCGACGCCGCGUGGAGGAUGAAGGCCUUCGGGUUGUAAACUCCUGUCAUGCGGGAACAAGCAAGUGAUAGUACCGCAAGAGGAAGAGACGGCUAACUCUGUGCCAGCAGCCGCGGUAAUACAGAGGUCUCAAGCGUUGUUCGGAUUCAUUGGGCGUAAAGGGUGCGUAGGUGGUGACGCAAGUCUGGUGUGAAAUCUCGGAGCUUAACUCCGAAAUUGCACCGGAUACUGCGUGACUCGAGGACUGUAGAGGAGAUCGGAAUUCACGGUGUAGCAGUGAAAUGCGUAGAUAUCGUGAGGAAGACCAGUUGCGAAGGCGGAUCUCUGGGCAGUUCCUGACACUGAGGCACGAAGGCCAGGGGAGCAAACGGGAUUAGAUACCCCGGUAGUCCUGGCAGUAAACGGUGCACGUUUGGUGUGGGCGGGUUCAGACCCCGUCCGUGCCGGAGCUAACGCGUUAAACGUGCCGCCUGGGAAGUACGGUCGCAAGAUUAAAACUCAAGGAAAUUGACGGGGGCCCGCACAAGCGGUGGAGUAUGUGGCUUAAUUCGAUGCAACGCGAAGAACCUUACCUGGCCUUGACAUGCAUUGUGUCCCCGGUGAAAGCCGGGUAGCUGGUAGCAAUAUCAGCGCCUUGCACAGGUGCUGCAUGGCAGUCGUCAG
rnacentral:rRNA from 1 species